ACGGGAGGCAGCAGUGGGGGAUAUUGCACAAUGGAGGAAACUCUGAUGCAGCAACGCCGCGUGAGGGAAGAAGGUUUUCGGAUUGUAAACCUCUGUUUUUAGUGAAGAAACAAAUGACGGUAGCUAAAGAGGAAGCCACGGCUAACUACGUGCCAGCAGCCGCGGUAAUACGUAGGUGGCAAACGUUGUCCGGAUUUACUGGGUGUAAAGGGUGCGCAGGCGGGACUGCAAGUUGGAUGUGAAAUACCGAGGCUUAACCUCGGAGCUGCAUACAAAACUGUGGUUCUUGAGUGGAGUAGAGGUAAGCGAAAUUCCGAGUGUAACGGUGAAAUGCGUAGAUAUUCGGAGGAACACCAGUGGCGAAGGCGGCUUACUGGACUCUAACUGACGCUGAGGCACGAAAGUGUGGGUAGCAAACAGAAUUGGAUACCCUGGUA
rnacentral:rRNA from 1 species